GUGGGGAAUAUUGCACAAUGGGCGCAAGCCUGAUGCAGCCAUGCCGCGUGUGUGAAGAAGGCCGUCGGGUUGUAAAGCACUUUCAGCGGGGAGGAAGGCGGUGAGGUUAAUAACCUCACCGAUUGACGUUACCCGCAGAAGAAGCACCGGCUAACUCCGUGCCAGCAGCCGCGGUAAUACGGAGGGUGCAAGCGUUAAUCGGAAUUACUGGGCGUAAAGCGCACGCAGGCGGUCUGUCAAGUCGGAUGUGAAAUCCCCGGGCGCAACCUGGGAACUGCAUUCGAAACUGGCAGGCUAGAGUCUUGUAGAGGGGGGUAGAAUUCCAGGUGUAGCGGUGAAAUGCGUAGAGAUCUGGAGGAAUACCGGUGGCGAAGGCGGCCCCCUGGACAAAGACUGACGCUCAGGUGCGAAAGCGUGGGGAGCAAACAGGAUUAGAUACCCCGGUAGUCC
rnacentral:rRNA from 1 species